rnacentral:tmRNA from 1 species
GGGGGCGUAAAGGUUUCGACGGGGAUUUUGAUAGGUGAUAAGCGGGCAGAGCAUGGGGCAAGCUCUUAAAUACGGCUCCAAUUAAAACUUUAACUGCUAACGACGAAGAAUUAGCACUCGCUGCCUAAGUGCGGCGCGUCCUUUAUGAGGGGGACCACGACCUCAUAUCGGGCGUCACGACUGUGGUGAACGUGAACCGCCGUUUCGCGCUUGAAGCGGUCACGCAUUAAAGCGCUUUCCCCGAGGUGUUUUGGGCAUCGUGUGCCUCGGCGGGAGAUUUUCGGUGCCAUGCGCCCGGAGAAAUUCACAGGGAGAGAUUUUCGGACAGGGGUUCGAUUCCCCUCGCCUCCACCA